AUUCUGUGACCGUGUGGCAUAGAAUUUUUGGCACAGUUCACAGAGGUCCUACUUGUUAACAGCCUCUUGUUGCCCACCACUUCCAGAGAGCAAACCAUGGGAGUUUUUCAGUCCGAAGUGAGCAGCCUUGAAAUCUGUGGCCGGCUGUCUUUGAGGGCAGUUGCUGGGAAAGAAGCUAGCUGCUGUCUAGACCCCGGGGCCCACGGCGGGCUGGGGAUCAUGUGCAAUCGGUCCAGCAAUGGUCGGUUCGAGGCCCUCUCUUGGGCAUCCCUGUGGCUAUAUCCAACUUCAAGUCACAUGUGCCUGUGUACCCAGAAGUUAUGAACAGCAUCAAAAUGCUCCUGUGGUUUGGUCCAAGAUACCGCACCUACUAUGCUGGAGCAAAGGAAUGGAAAGAAAGAGACACUUAUUAAGUGCAGUGUCUCAUUCGGUGUGACUGAAAUGCAAAUCGGCUCUUGUGCCAUGGAGACAUGGGCCUAAUGGCCUGGUUUUUUAACUGGCAUUUCUUAUAUGAAUCUCAUUAAUUUGCCUGAGACUGAAGUGUACAGAACACUGUUAUUUACAUAACCUC
rnacentral:lncRNA from 1 species